GUAUAGAACCUACCUUAUAGUAAGGGAUAGCCCAGAGAAAUUUGGAUUAAUACCUUAUAGUAUCGUUUAGAUGCAUAUUUAAAUGAUUAAAGAUUUAUCGCUAUAAGAUGGCUAUGCGUUCUAUUAGCUAGUUGGUAUGGUAACGGCAUACCAAGGCUACGAUAGAUAGGGGUCCUGAGAGGGAGAUCCCCCACACUGGUACUGAGACACGGACCAGACUCCUACGGGAGGCAGCAGUGAGGAAUAUUGGACAAUGGAGGCAACUCUGAUCCAGCCAUGCCGCGUGUAGGAAGACUGCCCUAUGGGUUGUAAACUACUUUUAUAGAGGAAGAAACCAUUCCACGUGUGGAAUGCUGACGGUACUCUACGAAUAAGGAUCGGCUAACUCCGUGCCAGCAGCCGCGGUAAUACGGAGGAUCCAAGCGUUAUCCGGAAUCAUUGGGUUUAAAGGGUCCGUAGGCGGUUUAGUAAGUCAGUGGUGAAAGUUUUCGGCUCAACCGGAAAAUUGCCAUUGAUACUGCAAGACUUGAAUUAUUGUGAAGUGGUUAGAAUGUGUAGUGUAGCGGUGAAAUGCAUAGAUAUUACACAGAAUACCGAUUGCGAAGGCAGAUCACUAACAAUUAAUGA
rnacentral:rRNA from 1 species